rnacentral:lncRNA from 1 species
GAAGCCCAAAGAAUAAGAAUUAUGUUAAAACUAGUUUAAGUAAACAUGGGAUUAACCUAGUUUUCUAACUUAGAAAGAAAAUCAGAAAAAUUGAGGUAGAGAAGAGGUAGAGGCAGCCGCCCAUAGGAAGGAGAAGAAAGGAUUUCAGCAUCUAGGAUCAAAGAAAGAAUUCAUCAAAACUUAAGGUUAGGGGAAGACUAAUACUUCGUAAUUGGUUGGAUUAGAUUUUAAGUUCUUAUGUUUCUCUAUUUCUUUCAUUUUGAUUUCUGUCCCGUACCUUUUAAUUUUGUUACUAUGAGGUUAUUCUAUUUUCAUUCUACCCUUUUGAAUUAGCAUAAGCCAUUCUUGAAUUUCUGGACUUAUGUUUAGUAAUUGGGUGAAUUAGAAUAGAUUUAUGUUUUCUUUAAUUCCUUCCUUUUGAUUUCUGGUUUGUGAUUCUGAUUGGUGAUUUUGUACUUCGGAGUGCAAUUUCGUUUUGUCUUGAUCUGUUAUAAUUUGUGAUUUUACAUCCUGCAACUUUGCUUUGAAAUAUUGGUUUAUGCAUUUAUGUUGAGUGUGUAUAUUUUGGAUUGAAAAGUGGAAAGAAAAUCAGAGUUUCUAAUUAGAGAUUAAAACAAUAAACUAGGUGUUCUUCAAUCACAAAAUUAAUUCCUAAUUGAAUAGUAAUCAUAGGAAAUUAACAUUGGAAUAAUUUGGAACUGUUUUGGAGUUGUUUGGGAACUUAAAAACCAAGCUUUAAUAUCACUUUUUAUAUGGCUGAGGUCUGCUUGUCCCAUCGUUAGUACAGAAGGGAAAUACAAGAUUAACUAAGGAUAAUAAAGUUAGCUCGGAAGCGGAUUGUUCUCGCCCAGGUCUGAUUUUAGUACUUGUCUGCUACCAAAUUAGUUUUAGGACCAUAGUCUAACCUGGUGUGCAUUGUUCCGAUAGGCUGGUUUUGAUAAUUGUUAAGUAGCAACCUGGUAUGUAUGUCCCAAGCUAUGAAACCUUGUAUAGUUUAUAUCCCCUGAAGCAUGGCUUGUGCUGGGGAAUAAAGCAAAGUCUUCAAUUAUAUCAUUUAUUUUAUUAACGUAAAUUUGUUUACAUUUAGAACCAAAGUAGUUAACACAAUUAAGUACUUGUGAUCGAUCACCGAAUCCCUUUUUUUUUUUUCUGAGUCUGUCAAUACUGUUAACUGCUUUUCUGUCCAGCAGUGGUUUGGAGUAGUCCACUAGGCUUUUCGGACGCGGUUUCGUCGUUGGUUAGCUUCUGGUCAGUACCUUAGCUUAGUAGAAUUAACUUGAGCAAUUAACAACCUGAGAGUUAGGAUUUGUGAAGGGUUUUGAGUAACUUGUUCAUUAGGAAAAUGGGUAUUUUGAUAAAAUAAUAAUGGUCAAAUUGAUAGUGUUUGUCAAAGAGAUUUUAUUUAGUUUGAUCCUGUACCAUUAGUUGCUAAUCAAAGAGAUUAUACGUAGUGUUUGUCAAAAUAAAAGCAAAUGAGGGAAGAAAAAUAUUAGGUCGUGAUUAAACUGCAACUCUAAGCUUAGCAGCAAUGGCAUCAAAGUCAAAUGUCAUAUAAAUGGCAUUGAAUUCAUUAACCAAGAAUUCUCAGCAGUGGUCAUUGAUCCAGCAGUGGUCAUUGAUCGUUAAUGGCAUUGGAUUUUCACACUUUCACAAGUGGGAAUAAAAGUGAGGAGAAUAUGAGAAUUCCUAGAUCACUUUUCCUAUAAAAGCAGUAGGUAAGUGAUUAGUAAUUAACUUCUGUACGUCUUUUGGGUGGUAGAGAGGAUUAUAACCUUUUGGUUUUCGAAACUUUGGAAUUGAGAAUUUCUGAGCUUUGAAAAUUUUGAUUUGAGAAUUGUUGUCAUUUUGAUUUUUUUUGUUGUCGCGUUGAUUUUGUUUGACAAUUUGGAAACUUGUCUUUGGUGUAAAUAUGACCAUGCAUUCAUCCAUGUGUGAAGUCAUUUGUUGUUGUGCAGUGGAAGUCUGGUGUGUUUUACUCGGCUUUCAAAUUUGUUGUCGUGCAGAGGAAUGACCGAUACAAUUUAUCUCGGCUUCCGAAUUUGUUGUCGUGCAGAGGAGUGUACAAUUAUGACCUCCGACCCUAGUACCAUGUGUAUUAGGGAGUUUUGAAUUUUUAUGACAUAACAUACAUUUGAGAAUUGAUUUGAUUUGAUUUUAAAGUUUAAUUACUUUGCUUGUAUUCAUCUCAGUUAUUGAAUAUUAGUGCUUACCCUGUUACGUUUUAUUUGUUGGCUUGGCCUUACGAUGUGCAAUCAUAGAUUUUCAGGUAUAGGGUGAACCUUAAAUUUCGCGGUGAAAUCCUUUACUCAUACUUGAGGUUGGCAUGUAGACGUCUCUUCUGAUACUAGUAACAUGAGAGAAAAUUCAUCUAGUUUUAUUUUCAACUUCUUUUAUUUCAUAAAUACCUCAUUUGGGAAACUUUGAUGUAUUAUUUUCAUCCAAACAACACUUGAUUCUAUUUCUAAAAUUAUUCGGACAUUAUUAAGAGUUUCUCAGUUUAAUCAGAGUUUGUAUUUCAGACAAUUUUAUCCAUUCCGC